UGGAUAUUAGUUAAUUAAAUAACAAUAAAAUUGCACUUUAAUAUAAUUAAAUAAAUUUAAUAUAUCUAU
rnacentral:tRNA from 1 species